CGGCACGACUAUCUACUGCCGCGCCGCGGCGCGGCGCGGUAUGGUUUAAGAUAUAUGCAGUUUCUAUCUUCUCUGCGGGCACGGUUUGACAGCGCGAUCCACUAUCUACCGUGGAUAAAAUUAUAACUCGUCGCAUAAAAAAAUGUUGCUAUCUGAAAUAAAAGUGUUGUUUUUUCAUUUGUUAACACUAUACCCCCAAUAGUGCUGUUCUAAAUCAUUCGUUCAUUUCGUAAUCUUUUUUCUUUUUUUGGUUUAUAAAUAUGAUUUUUGUCGUACUCACAAGAUUAGAAAAAGAUAGCGCUAUACAAGUUUUUACUGUUUUAUUAUGAGUCUUGUGAUUGUUUCAAUGAAAAAAAAAACGCAAACAAAAAAAAAACGCGAACAUAAAAAAUACAAACGAACUAAGAAAAAUCCUCAACUUCUUUUGAACUUUGUGAAGUUUUCGUGAUCUUUUUGGAAAUGAACCCGCAGUUAGGGAAAAAGAAGUAAGUAUCUAAGUUUCAAAUCCGAAUUGUUCUAUUUGGUUUACGAAGAAUCUUGUUUUAUCAUCAUAACUUGUUUCAGAAUAAGGAGUACUCUAACUCAACAAAAAAUGUUGGUUGAUUACAUGAGUACACACCCCAGUUUUGCCAACGGGGAGUUCACUGGCCCCUUGGGCAGCCAGCAGUAUCUACAGCAGUGGGAAACGCUGCGGAUGCUGCUGAGGGAACAUGGGCCCGACAAAUCCAUAGAACAAUGGCGACAUACUUGGCGGGAUUUAAAGAAAAAAGCAAGGGGGCGAAGGAGCGAGCCUACGUAAGGCUUUGACCGCCACAGGCAAUUUCAUUCCUGUGCCAAGCCUCUCCGAGACAACAAAUAAAAUUUUAGGUGUCAUUGGCACAGAGAUGGCUUUUGGUAUAGGUGGCGACUCAUAGGAGACAGGUAUUGGGGAGCUGCCAUCUCAUAAAACUGUGGAGUCGUCAAUGGGUCAGUCACAGGAAUUGAAUAAUGAAAUAGAG